rnacentral:rRNA from 1 species
AUUGAACGCUGGCGGCAGGCCUAACACAUGCAAGUCGAGCGGAUGAAGGGAGCUUGCUCCUGGAUUCAGCGGCGGACGGGUGAGUAAUGCCCAGGAAUCUGCCUGGUAGUGGGGGAUAACGUCCGGAAACGGGCGCUAAUACCGCAUACGUCCUGAGGGAGAAAGUGGGGGAUCUUCGGACCUCACGCUAUCAGAUGAGCCUAGGUCGGAUUAGCUAGUUGGUGGGGUAAAGGCCUACCAAGGCGACGAUCCGUAACUGGUCUGAGAGGAUGAUCAGUCACACUGGAACUGAGACACGGUCCAGACUCCUACGGGAGGCAGCAGUGGGGAAUAUUGGACAAUGGGCGAAAGCCUGAUCCAGCCAUGCCGCGUGUGUGAAGAAGGUCUUCGGAUUGUAAAGCACUUUAAGUUGGGAGGAAGGGCAGUAAGUUAAUACCUUGCUGUUUUGACGUUACCAACAGAAUAAGCACCGGCUAACUUCG